AUUGAACGCUGGCGGCAGGCCUAACACAUGCAAGUCGAGCGGUAGAGAGAAGCUUGCUUCUCUUGAGAGCGGCGGACGGGUGAGUAAUACCUAGGAAUCUGCCUGAUAGUGGGGGAUAACGUUCGGAAACGGACGCUAAUACCGCAUACGUCCUACGGGAGAAAGCAGGGGACCUUCGGGCCUUGCGCUAUCAGAUGAGCCUAGGUCGGAUUAGCUAGUUGGUGAGGUAAUGGCUCACCAAGGCUACGAUCCGUAACUGGUCUGAGAGGAUGAUCAGUCACACUGGAACUGAGACACGGUCCAGACUCCUACGGGAGGCAGCAGUGGGGAAUAUUGGACAAUGGGCGAAAGCCUGAUCCAGCCAUGCCGCGUGUGUGAAGAAGGUCUUCGGAUUGUAAAGCACUUUAAGUUGGGAGGAAGGGCAGUUACCUAAUACGUGACUGUCUUGACGUACCGACAGAAUAAGCACCGCA
rnacentral:rRNA from 1 species